rnacentral:rRNA from 1 species
UAGGGAAUCUUUCACAAUGGGCGAAAGCCUGAUGGAGCAACGCCGCGUGCAGGAUGAAGGCCUUCGGGUUGUAAACUGCUUUUAUAAGCGAGAAAUAUGAUGGUAACUUAUGAAUAAGGAUCGGCUAACUACGUGCCAGCAGCCGCGGUCAUACGUAGGAUCCGAGCAUUAUCCGGAGUGACUGGGUGUAAAGAGUUGCGUAGGUGGCAUAAUAAGUAGCUAGUGAAAUCUGGUGGCUCAACCAUUCAGACUAUUAGCUAAACUGUUAAGCUCGAGACCGUUAGGGGUAACUGGAAUUUCUAGUGUAGGAGUGAAAUCCGUAGAUAUUAGAAAGAACACCAAUAGCGUAGGCAGGUUACUGGGACGGUUCUGACACUAAGGCACGAAAGCGUAGGGAGCAAACGGG